UGUUGCUUGAAAAAUAUUUUAAUAUUAUUAACAAAUCAGCUUAUAUAAUUAAUAACAGAACUAAGUGAUCAUAUAUCUCAAAAUCAAUAUGAUACUCGCUAAUGGACGUUGCUAAAUUAAAUUUUAAGUUGAUGCUUCAAAAUGAAAUUUUAAAAAUAUUUUAUGUAUAAAGAAUUAAAAAUAGAAGUGAGAAGUGAAGUGUUAUUUUAGACUCGUUUCGCGUUUUGUAUUUACGAAAUAUUUCGUGAAAUGCAAUCGUAUCAUAUUUCGCUUUGUAUAUACGUCACAGUAUAACAGACGUUGUCACGAAAUUCGAGAGUAUUAUACGUUAUAUUUUUCAGCUGGUAGCACUGAUUCGUCGCGGUCACAUCGAUCCGGCAUUUUCCAUUACCAAAGUAAUACGCAUUUAUUUGCACGCGUCGCUUACCUGCACACCCAUUACCGUGCAAAUUUACGACACGCCAGCGGACCUUCAAUCGAUAUAUCUUUUUGUUUCGUAUCCACCUUUAUGCUACUCAAUAAAUCCUUCUUUUAAACCGUAGGAGGGGAUAAAACACCCUUUUCUACCGUGAACAAUGUCUGUACUUCAAGAAAUUACACUAAAAGCUAUACGUGAGUUCUUUUGGAUUUCUGUUUCAAAGAGAUUACGUCUAACAGGAGAGUCUACUGUGAGGCCACUGUAUCUCCGCCAUUUUGUGAAGUACAAAAAAUCUAAAAAUAUUCCCGCGUAGCUUAAAACAUGUACAAGAAAAUGUAUAUAAUAGAUUUUUUAUUUACUUUAUGAUUUAAACAGAAAAAAAAUAAUACAAAAUAAUUUCGAUUCUUCAGAUUCAAAGUGGGCCUCUCCUUAAGGUCUGUGUUUCAAAAAUUUAUUUUAUUCGCUUUCUAUCUUUGAAUUAAGAUUCUUAUCUCUUUCCAAAAGAAAUACUCAAAUUCUGUCGUAUAAAAUGGUACUUAAAUGGAAUAGUCGUUCCAGGAAGCUUGAAAAUAAGCAUCAAAGUACACUGAAAUAUUUGAACAAGUUAACAAAAAAUAGCGGACGGUGUUAAUCGAGUGUACCGCAAGAAAAGAACGGCGUAUUUGGUUUUCUCGUUUAAAAUACAACGCGUGAAAGUGUGAAGUGAAAAUACAUAGUCUCUGAAAAGGAACGUUCGCUGUGAAUCACCCUGCUGUAAAAUAUACGCGUACCAGACUAACUCUCCUCGUACGCCGUUAUAUUGAAAAAUUUGUUCAAAUAAUAGUCACUCGAUUCGGUUUCGGUGGCUAGUUUUUUUUUUUUUUUUUUUU